rfam:Schistosoma curassoni strain Dakar, Senegal genome assembly, scaffold: SCTD_contig0026042
CUCGGUUAGCUCAGUUGGUAGAGCAUCAGACUUUUAAUCUGAGGUCGGGGGUUAGAGCCCACCCAUCGGG